CCUACGGGUGGCAGCAGUGGGGAAUAUUGCACAAUGGGGGAAACCCUGAUGCAGCGACGCCGCGUGAGUGAAGACGUAUUUCGGUAUGUAAAGCUCUAUCAGCAUGGAAGAAAAUGACGGUACCUGAGUAAGAAGCCCCGUCUAACUACGUGCCAGCAGCCGCGGUAAUACGUAGGGGGCAAGCGUUAUCCGGAUUUACUGGGUGUAAAGGGAGCGUAGACGGCAGUUCAAGUCUGGAGUGAAAUGCCGGGGCUCAACCCCGGAACUGCGUUGGAAACUGGCCAGCUAGAGUGCAGGAGAGGUAAGCGGAAUUCGUGGUGUAGCGGUGAAAUGCGUAGAUAUUAGGAGGAACACCAGUGGCGAAGGCGGCUUACUGGACUGUAACUGACGUUGAGGCUCGAAGGCGUGGGGAGCAAACAGGAUUAGAUACCCGAGUAGUC
rnacentral:rRNA from 1 species